AUUGAACGCUGGCGGCAUGCCUUACACAUGCAAGUCGAACGGCAGCACGGGAGCAAUCCUGGUGGCGAGUGGCGAACGGGUGAGUAAUAUAUCGGAACGUGCCCAGUCGUGGGGGAUAACGCAGCGAAAGCUGUGCUAAUACCGCAUACGAUCUCUGGAUGAAAGCGGGGGACUCGCAAGAGCCUCGCGCGAUUGGAGCGGCCGAUAUCAGAUUAGCUAGUUGGUGGGGUAAAAGCCCACCAAGGCGACGAUCUGUAGCUGGUCUGAGAGGACGACCAGCCACACUGGAACUGAGACACGGUCCAGACUCCUACGGGAGGCAGCAGUGGGGAAUUUUGGACAAUGGGCGCAAGCCUGAUCCAGCAAUGCCGCGUGCAGGACGAAGGCCUUCGGGUUGUAACUGCUUUGUACGGAACGAACGGUACCGUUUCUAAUUAAGAGGGCGUAAUGAGGUACCGUAAGAAUAAGACACCGGCUAACUACGUGCCAG
rnacentral:rRNA from 1 species